UACGAAGGGUGCAAGCGUUACUCGGAAUUACUGGGCGUAAAGCGUGCGUAGGUGGUUUGUUAAGUCUGCUGUGAAAGCCCCGGGCUCAACCUGGGAAUGGCAGUGGAUACUGGCAAGCUGGAGUGCGGUAGAGGGUAGUGGAAUUCCCGGUGUAGCGGUGAAAUGCGUAGAGAUCGGGAGGAACACCAGUGGCGAAGGCGGCUACCUGGACCAGCACUGACACUGAGGCACGGAAAGCGUGGGGAGCAAACAGG
rnacentral:rRNA from 1 species